UGGGGAAUAUUGCGCAAUGGGGGAAACCCUGACGCAGCGACGCCGCGUGCGGGAAGAAGGCCUUCGGGUCGUAAACCGCUGUCAGGAGGGAAGAAACUGUUAGAGUCGAAUAGGCUCUUUCACUGACGGUACCUCCAGAGGAAGCACCGGCUAACUCCGUGCCAGCAGCCGCGGUAAUACGGAGGGUGCGAGCGUUAAUCGGAAUCACUGGGCGUAAAGCGUACGUAGGUGGCAAGGUCAGUCAGGCGUGAAAGCCCUCGGCUCAACCGAGGAAUUGCGUUUGAUACUACUUUGCUAGAGUCUCGGAGAGGUUGGCAGAAUUCCAGGUGUAGGAGUGAAAUCCGUAGAUAUCUGGAGGAACACCAGUGGCGAACGCGGCCAACUGGACGAGUACUGACACUGAGGUAC
rnacentral:rRNA from 1 species